UACGUAGGGGGGCAAGCGUUGUCCGGAAUCAUUGGGCGUAAAGCGCGUGUAGGCGGCCCGGUAAGUCCGCUGUGAAAGUCGGGGGCUCAACCCUCGGAUGCCGGUGGAUACUGUCGGGCUAGAGUGCGGAAGAGGCGAGUGGAAUUCCUGGUGUAGCGGUGAAAUGCGCAGAUAUCAGGAGGAACACCAAUUGCGAAGGCAGCUCGCUGGGACGUGACUGACGCUGAGACGCGAAAGCGUGGGGAGCAAACAGG
rnacentral:rRNA from 1 species